ACACUCAAUAAGAUGGCCCAAAUGCUGAAAUUUCUACUGAAGUAUUGCUCACUGGACUCUUAACAUAUAUAUUCCUCCCUGGGCCCACUAGAAUUUCAGUGGUACCUCGGGUUACAAAUGCUUCGAGCUACAUUUUGUCGGGUUACAAAUAAUUUUAACCCAGACGUGAAUUUUCUGAGCUCUCGGAGGCCUCGCCGCUGCCGAGUCCCAACAUCCGUGGGGCCUACGGAUGCUCCACGAGGCAUCCGCGAAUGCUGGGAGCCAAGCCAAUUGUGAUUGUGGAAGAGGACUCUGAGCCUCCAUCCAAACAAGGACUAUCAUCAGCGCAGGUAAGGAAAAAAUCACAUUUUCAUUUUGUACUGUUUUAUUGAUUUCAAUUUUUUGGUCAAUGGCCUCGUUAGAUAGUAAAAUUUAUGCAAAAUUGCUGUUUUUGGGGUCGCUUUUCAUCGUCUGGUUCCUGUUGAGUGUGUUUCGUUUGUUAAUUGAGUCCCUCGCUGCUAAUCAGAGGCUUCCUGUUGAGUCUGCCAGCUGUUGAGUCCUGAGCACCCACGCAACACAGAAGUUAUAGUUGGAAGUUUUGUUUUUGCUUUUCUUUUUUUUUGCAUUUUGGUUGUCUGGCUUUUUCAGUUUUUUGACGUGACUUGUUCUUCAUUCGCUUUUGUGACUGUGGCUUGUGAUUUCAUAUUUGUGACUUGUUUUUGUGACUGUGAGGAACCCAGUUCAGCUACUGAUUGACUGUGUGACUGUAGAAAUGGAUAAAAAAACCCAUUCAAACUGACUAUCAUCAGUUAAUUUUUUUUUCCAUUAAAAUACUGUCUUAUUUAUUUUAUAGUGCUGUAAAUUGAUUAUUGCCUUCAUUUUUUGGAUCAAUGGUCUCGUUAGUAAAAUCGUGUUAAAUUGCUGUUUUAGGGGUGUUUUUUUCAUCGUCUGGAACAGAUCAAUCCACUUUCCAUUAUUUUCAAUGGGAAAGUGUGCUUCAGGUUAAGAACACUUCAGGUUAAGAACGAACUUCCGGAACCAAUUAAGUACUUAACCUGAGGUACCACUGUACCUGCUCUGAUACCGUGGUAACCGCCUGUCAACACCUGAGCCUCCUGCCACCAGAUGCAGAACAGCAUGUGCUUCAAAUGGCUGUAAUCUGCCCAGGGACCUUAAGGAUCAAGAGCAACUAUAAAUAAAAG